rnacentral:lncRNA from 1 species
GCUCUGAUUGAGUUCCUGUCCUGACUUCCUUCUAUGAUGGACUACAAUGCAGAUGCAGAACUCUCAGCUAUCUCUCCAGCACCGUGUCUGCCUGCCUGCCACCACACUUCCUGCUGUGAGGAAUUGACUAGCCCUCCAAAUUGGUGUUGCACAUCUUUAAUCCCAGCAUUCAGAAGUCAGAGGCAGGUGGAUCUUUGUGAGUUCAAGGCCAGUCUGAUCUACAGAGCAAGUUCCAGGACAGUCAGAGCUACACAGAGAAACUCUGUCUCAAAAGAGAAAAAAAAAAAAAAAGGAAGAAAAAAAAAGAAAAG